rnacentral:lncRNA from 1 species
GAUUCCCGGCUGGGAACUUUGCCCUCCCUUCUUUGUGGGGGUGGCUCUGGGCUCACAAGGGCCGGGACUGCUGUCUCUUCAGGAGCUGGGCUUUGCACUCUGAUCACAGGGCGCUCGGAAGAACUGAAUGAAAUGUGCAGCUGUCGGUGUCAUUUCUGAAGGGAGGACUCGUUUUCUUGGAGAAGAGGCCUCAAUGAGCCUGGCCGAGGCCCGGGAUCUGUGUGAAGUGGACUAAGGAUUUAGUAGGAUGUCAACUGAGACAGAACUUCAAGUAGCUGUGAAAACCAGCGCCAAGAAAGACUCCAGAAAGAAAGGUAGGGCUCAAGCUGUUCCUAUCCUAAUAUCUACUCUUGUGUAGGAAUGAGGUUUUUUGGUCCUGGAAUGGCAUUUGGGGGACUAUCUUUGUGAUUGCUUAUGUUUGUUUGUUUUAAUAGCACCAUUAUUGGGUGUUUUUUGUAUGCACAGUAUCGUAUUUUAAAGGUCCUUCCUAAUUCUCUUGGUAAAAUCCAAAGUUCUUUUCAGCAUAUACAAAGCCCUUCUUGACAUGUCUUCUACUCAUCCCCCCCCCCCAAGCAACAUCUGUGUCUGCAUUCACGCCCCAUCUCCAUCUAACCCUGUUCACCCGCCGGGCAUUCUGUGCUUUGUAGUUCCUCUUUGCAUAUACCAGUGAUUCUCAAACUCCAGCUGCACCAGCAUCACCUGGAAGGCUUGUUAAAACAGAGAUUGCUGAGUCUCAUUCCCAGAAAUUUGGGUUCCCUGGGUCUGUGGUGGGGCCCAAGUUUCAUCUACAACAAAUUCCCAGAUGAUGCUGAUGCUGGUGGUUCAGAGUCCAGACUUUGAGAACCACUGGACUCUCAAUCCGUCUGUGGCUCUCUGCUAUUUCCUAGACUGACUUCUGCCUAUUCUUUAGUUUUGAGCGUAGUAGGACUUCCUGGAGGGCCAGGCCUUUCCUUAACCCCAAAUGGGAUUAGUUUCUCUUUGUUUGUUUUGUUUCGUUAGCACUUUGUUGGUAGCUAACUUUAUUAAUAAUGUCUUUGUGUUUGUUAGCCAUACUAUAUAGUCCUUGAGAGCUGGAUCUCUUGUUGACCCUUUUAACUCCCAUCAAUUAGAAAGUGCUUGACACAUGGGAGUUCCUCUAGUGGCUCAGUGGGUUAAGAACUGGACGCUGUCUUGUGAGGAUGCAUGUUUGAUCCUUAGCCUUGCUCAUUGGGUUAAGGAUGCAGUGUAGGUUACAGAUAUGGCCCGGAUCUGGUGGUGCAGUGGCUGUGGUGUAGGCCAGCAGCUGCAGCUCCGAUUUGACCCUUGGCAGCUUUCAUAUGCUGCAGGUGUGGCUAUAAAAUGAAAAAAAAAAAAAAGGAAAGAACGUGCUUGACACAGAGGAGGCACAUAGGUGUUUAGUAAUGAAGACUGGCAUGCAUGGUGUGAUAAUUAAGUAAUUAUAUUAGUAUUCAUGGGUUUUGGAGAAUUUGGUCCUAUGGCUUUAUGACUAUGUCUUUCUUUAAGUUUAUCCCCUCAUAACUAGAGAUAAGCAACUUCUUACUGUGUGUGUGUGUGUGUGUGUGUGCACGUGCGUGUGCGCAUGUGUGGUGGUGUGUGUUUUCUCCCUGCAGUUUCAGCUCUUUCCCUCCCCUUCAAAAAAUGUGUGGGAUAGAAUUAAUAGAGCUCUCUUCCAGGUCAUGAAAUCUGUCAGUCUGGGCCUGAAAACUGGAUGCCAUUGGUUGCUUUGUAGAGGCUGUGAUUUGUUUGAGACAUUGCUGUGCGUGCCCAGUCAUGUUUCCUGAUGGCAUCUGUCUGACACUCCAUAGGAAGAAAGGGACAUAAAUGUAAUACAUAUGCAGCUCUUGGGCAGUCGGAACCCCAGAAAGGACUAUAAAUUUUGCUUCAGAUGUUUAUUUGAAACACAAAUAUUUUCGAAGCAGUCUAUUUUAUCCCUAUAACCUAAUGUAAACCUUGUUUUUUAUGCAUCAUGGUCUAAGAAUAAUAGAAGGAAAGCAAGUGGGUGAUAGACCAGGUCUUGGGAGAAAUGCUACGUGGGAAAAAAAUUAAAAAAAAAAAAAA